ACAGGGAUUGCCCUAGUAACGGCGAGUGAAGCGGCAUCAGCUCAAAUUUGAAAUCUGGCUCUUUUAGAGUCCGAGUUGUAAUUUGCAGAGGGCGCUUUGGCAUAGGCAGCGAUUCAAGUUCCUUGGAACAGGACGUCACAGAGGGUGAGAAUCCCGUACGUGGUCGCUAGCUCUUGCCGUGUAAAGCCCCUUCGACGAGUCGAGUUGUUUGGGAAUGCAGCUCUAAAUGGGAGGUAAAUUUCUUCUAAAGCUAAAUAUUGGCCAGAGACCGAUAGCGCACAAGUAGAGUGAUCGAAAGAUGAAAAGUACUUUGGAAAGAGAGUCAAAAAGCACGUGAAAUUGUUGAAAGGGAAGCGCUUGCAGCCAGACUUGCCUGUAGUUGCUCAUCCGGGCUCUUGCCCGGUGCACUCUUCUGUAGGCAGGCCAGCAUCAGUUUGGGCGGUUGGAUAAAGGUCUCUGUCAUGUACCUCUCUUCGGGGAGGCCUUAUAGGGGAGGCGACAUACAACCAGCCUGGACUGAGGUCCGCGCAUUCGUGCUAGGAUGCUGGCGUAAUGGCUGUAAGCGGCCCGUCUUGAAACACGGACCAAGGAGUCUAACAUCUAUGCGAGUGUUUGGGUGUCAAGCCCGAGCGCGUAAUGAAAGUGAACGGAGGUAGGAACCCUUUUGGGUGCACUAUCGACCGAUCCUGAUGUCUUCGGAAGGAUUUGAGUAAGAGCAUGGCUGUUGGGACCCGAAAGAUGGUGAACUAUGCUUGAAUAGGGUGAAGCCAGAGGAAACUCUGGUGGAGGCUCGCAGCGGUUCUGACGUGCAAAUCGAUCGUCAAAUUUGGGCAUAGGGGCGAAAGACUAAUC
rnacentral:rRNA from 1 species